rnacentral:lncRNA from 1 species
AUUUUUAAAAUGCUCUACUAGGUUGGCUUGGGUUGUAGGUUCACUGGACUUUUUAUCUCUAACUCAGUUCGACUCUUCUAUCCUAAUGGAUCUUAGGACAUAAUUCAGUGAUAGCUCUCUCUGAUUGUGGUUAAGAUCGUUUGCAUAGUUCGACCAAGAGGGUGGCAACUUAUCUAUAAGGCUUCGUUUGGUUUGGGAUUAAGUAAGAACUAGUUAUUCCAGGAAUAGGUAUAAGUCCGGGGUUAAGCCUGGAAUAGACUAAUUUUGCGUUUGGAUAAAAAUUGGGUUGUUUCCGAGAAUAAAAAAAAUAGCGUUUGGAUAGAUAAGGUGGAAUAAGAAGAAUAGUGGAUAGUUAUAAAUAGAAAAUAAUUUUAUAUUUGAAUUUAAAUAUUUAAAUUUCAUAAUUUAAAUUUUAAAUUUAAAUAUAUAACUUUAAAACUUAAAAAAUUCUUUUUUAAAUCUCAAAUUCAAAAUUUUAAAGUUCUAAAUAUUAAAUUUAAAUUUAAAAUAUCAAAUAUCAAAUUUUAAAUUUAAAAAAUUAAAAAUAAUAAUUUAAAAUUUAAAAACUUAAAAUAAUAAUUUAAAAUUAUAUUCUCAAUUUUAAGCUCAAAAAUUUUUAAAUUUAAAAAAUUUAAAAUAUAAAUAUAAAUUUAAAAAUUAAAUUUAAAAUUUAAAAUUUAAAUUAUAGAAUUGAAUUGGGAUGGGAUUAAAGUU